UCGGCACUCCCUGGCUGCUGGGGCUGGACUCGGCAAGUGGCGCCCGAACAGGGACCGGAGAAGAGGUAAUGUAUAUAUGAUUUCGGGGACAAUUCGGCUCUCACACCAGGGUUUCUAGAGCCCCUCCACAGAGAGAAGUGGAGUCGGAAGGGUGAGUAAUCCAGAAUAAAGGCCUGAUAAUGGGGCACACAGAAUCCAAAGAGCGAAAAUUAUUUAUUGAAAUCUUGCUUUCAUAUGGUUAGUAAAAGAGGUGUAAAAGUAACUAACCAACAACUUGCAAGAUUUUUACAUUUUAUACAGGAAACCUGCCCUUGGUUCCCAGAAGAGGGGACCAUGAAUCUUAAAACCUGGACAAAGGGAUCCUGAUGAAAGGACACCCCUUUCUCCUAAACCUAAUAGCGGAUCAUUGGCCCCACCAUUGGUAACAACAAUAAGAAAUGAUGAUGAAGAUGAUUGGCUGGAUCCUGAGGAUCAACAGAAAUUAGAGGAUGAGGAGGAAAGAUAUGAGAAAGAAAGAGAGGAAAGGGGAGAUGGACCAUUUAAUGCAUCCAAUUUUGGAGCUACAGGGUAUACACCCUCUUUAACAGGUAUAACGGGUCUGCCCUCUGGGAAACCCCCAUCUAUUCUACCUCCUCCUUUAAAUCACCCUCCUUAUCAUUCUACCUCAGAAGGUCAAAGACACCUGAUAAGAAAAACUGGAAAUAUCAGUGAUUUUAUCAGACAGUGCGCUGACAUUGGACCUGCAUAUGUGCAGGGCGUUACUAUGGCAGCCACACUCAAGGGUGAAACUUAUUCUCAAUUUUUACAAGGAGUCGGACAGGGUCCAAAAGGGCAAAAGGAACAGAUACUUGAAAAUAAAGGUGCUUGUUUCUCUUGUGGUCUAACAGAACACUUUAGUAAAUUCUGCCCUCAGGGUAAUCAACAACCUUAUGCUCUGUGCUUCCUGGCCGUCCUGCUCCUGCAGCACUGUUGCUCCAGUUAUGCCAGGACCAAAAAACUAUUUGCCCUAGAUAUCAAAAAGGCUUUCAUUGGGCACCAGGAAAGUGGAGUGGGAGAAAUCCACCUACGGCUGAAAAGGUUUCAUAUAGACAACUCUCCAAGGAGAAAGAGAGGAAAAACAUCCUGGUCCCCUAGGAGGUCUUCCUCUCCUCCAAGGGAUCCUCAACUAUCUCUGAGAUGAUGAGGUCGAGCCCCGAGAACCAACCUCACACAGGACCACCGAUAAUCAUCCCACUGUCGCCAGCUGUCAGUCCAUCAAGAUCUAGACCCCUCGUAGAGCCUGAUCGACGCAACAAUCCAGGGGUCCGACUUGGGGAGAUAUCAAGAAGCUGACUGCUGAUGCCCAAAGCCUCGUUCUGUCUCAGGACCAGAAUCCAAGCUUAAGUGUUUUUUUGUUGCCUUUUUAUCUAUUCUGUCUCUAAAUUCCGCUCAGGUAAGGCUGA
rnacentral:lncRNA from 1 species